AUCUUGGAUAGAACUGGGAUGCGAGGGAAGUAAGAACCCAUCUGGGAAAGAGAGGACAGGACUGAAGAGGGACUCAAGGAAGUUGAGCUUACUGGAUUGGGGGUGAAUGUUAAAGUUCCAGUUUGAACAGAGCCCAAGCUGGAGACCAGGAGAAUCUAGAGGAAGGAGGUGACACAGGCCUGCUCCUAGUCUGAUGGGAAAACCUACGUUAUACCCUCAAAGAACCCCAAUCUGGUAUGGGAGACACACUCCCUGACUUCAGAGAGCUCUCUGUCUGAACGAGUGGACGCAAUGCCUACCUUUAAGGAGACCGUCUGUCUGAUGGGAGGGACACAGCUUCUUCCUCCAAUCCGAAGGGGAGAUGGGACACAUCACAUGCACACUGCUGGUAGCUGGGCUGACCUUUAGACAUUAGUAUUCAGGGACAAGGAUAGCCUGGGAGGAAGGCUUGAGGAUGACCUGUGGUCCUUUGUGAAGAGAAGGCCAGUGUAAAGGGUGCCGGGAUGGAGCUGAUGCGCCCCCGGGGAGUGGGCCCUGCUCAGACCUAGAUGUCCAUAUUGGUGACCAAGCUCUGAUCUGUUGUCCCCACAGGGGUCUACCAGCUGAAAAGCAGUGAGGAGACAGGGAAGGACAGGAGACACACAGAGCCAUAUAUGGAAGAAGAUCUGAAAUGGAGUGAUAAAGAUAGAUAUGAGGCUGGGCGCGGUGG
rnacentral:lncRNA from 10 species